GAAUAUAUAUUUUUCUAAAGAAUUUUAAACCACAAAUGUCUUAAACUUGAGUAUUAGUCUUUACAGUUUAAUAUUAAAGAUCUACAUGGAUUAAAUGUAUCAUAUUUAAAUAUAUUAAAAUAUGAUUCUGCUCUGAAAUGUUGCAAAAAAUAUGGUGGUUCCUUAUGCCACAGAUUUGCUUCCUGUUUGUAAUUCAGAGAAAUCUGCUGAUUUUAGAUAAUGUUUACUGCUUUGUAUAUCUGCUAGUUAUAUUCAUUCUGUGGAGCUAGAGGGGAGGGAGCUGAAUUCUAUUCCUGCUUGCACACUAGCAGCAGAAUUAUGUACAACAUUGCAAUACACUUGUGAAAUUCCACUGAAGGCACUGGGAUUGCACAGAUAUUACUGAGGGCUUGCUUUGGCAGAAUCUUCUACUAGUGGUAACAUGAGAAGGAAAGAACCUAGUUUUAUUCUCAAAUCCUUCAGUGUGUUUGAGUGAACAAAGGGAACUAAUGUCAUACACAUUUUUCAUAGUAGAACUGCACUUGGAGCUGAAAUGUUCAUAGCAAUAUAAUGACAAAGGAACUCAUAAUGACUGAAACACCAACUGGCUGUUGGCUGACUGGUACAAGAACAGAUUUUAAAGAUCUUAGUAAUUAAGAGUAGGGAAAACUGCUUAUAGUGGAGGCAAUGGUAAUAUAAGAAUGGUUAGAGAUGAAAAUGAAUUUGUGAGGAGGUAAUUUCAAUUUUGGUCACAAGUUGUGUCCUACAAUAAUUCUACCUUUUAAAAGUUCAUAUGUUAGGGAAGGGAAGAAUUACUGUACUUUGAACAAUAUGGGGCCCACUACUAUGUAGGUAAUUGUUUUAUUUUGCUUAAAAUUCCACAGAUAUUUAAUUGACGAUAACUACGUUUUUUUUUCUAGGUUAAAAUUAAAAUGCUAAAAUGCAGAUGAAGAUCGGUUUAAAAAAAAAGUUCUGCUCUGUCUAAGAGUACAGAAGGUCAAGAUCCUGAAGCCUUUUUUUUUUUUUACUUUCAGGUUGGAAAAAGGCAGCAAUGAAGUCAACUUUAUCUUCACCCUGAGAAAUACUGUGCAGAGCAUUGAGCAACAAACAUACUGUUCUCCCAGUGUGAAGCAUGUCUGUCACUAUCAGCAUCCUCCACACAAAAAAAAACCAGUUUUUUUUUCAAAUAAAACAUUGGUGCUGAAUCAACAUUGAUUUAUAACUUUUGAUUUAUGAUGUGGGGACUAUAAGCAUGGAAAGUUCUGGUAGACCUCUAUUCAGAGUAUUGAUAACCGGGUUUUCAAGUUUGUAGACACUAUAACCCAAGGCAGGUUAAAUUUAUUAUAUGACUGAACUGCAUUUAUGGUGUUUCUCCAAGAUAGAGAAAUAACUGAGUUAAAUGACACCAUCAAUUCUUAUAAUCAGGAAAAGGAUGGGAGUUAAGUGUGGUAAAAUUAAUGGAAGUUGAAGCAAAAUCAGCAAACUUGACACCUGCUGAUAUACAAAGUCUGGUUGUUACAUGCUAUAUCUCAAAGUAGCACCCUGUAACUCCCAUAUUCAUCAUUUGUAUAUCGUGAUUUUUCAUAAAAAGCAUGCCAUGUAAGAUACCAUAUCUGCUGAAACUCAUUGUUCUGUCAAACUGUGUGCAUCACUAUGGUGUAUGAAGUUAUGAGAUUUUGCUGUAUGGUUGUGGUUGAAAUAUGUUGAGAGUUUGGGACUCGCCCACUGCUAGCUCUCCAGUGGCUGAGGGUGGUGACCCACACCCAAGGGGGUGUUAAAACUACAAUUGAUCAGAAUGGUAAACAAGAAAUCUACAAUUCAAUAAGACAGUUACAGAAGAACCACACAAUUAGGAUUGUUCAACUCUGACUCAGCAAGGCAUGCCUGGGCCAGUUUCUUUCCAGGGACAUGGACUAAGAGUAUAAAAUAAGGGACAAUGACAUCAUGAGAUGACCUCUCUCCUCCCCCACUUAUGCCAAAGGCAACAAGAAUCCUGGGAAGACAAAGACUGAGAAGGAAACUCAGACUGUAUUAAGAUCUGCAACCUACCUGCAACAUCCAGUGGGUUGAGAAAAGCAGAUUCAACUCUUGCUUAGGCUUUGUCUACGCUACCACUUUUGUUGGUCAGGGGUAUGAAAACAAACACACCCCUGGCUGACAUAGCUAAACAUGACUCAAUGGGGGUGGUUUAAUUAUGCCGGCAGGAAAGCUCUUG
ensembl:lncRNA